AUAAAGUUUUAUUUGGAAAAAAGAACCUUUUUUAUUUUUUACUAAUUCUUAGGUUGUUAAACUUCAAGUUUGAAAAAAAUCUCCUACCCUCCUUGGUCUAGAACCCUCCAGGCGGCAAUUCCAACCAAAAUUUUUUUAAGGAUGGACUUGUUGGCAUCCUUUAGUUUAAGAAAUAUGUAAUGAUUGAUUUUUCUAUCCGUGAUGUAAUUACGACAUGUUUUUCGAUGACAAUAUCUAUUGUAAUUUGGUAAAUAUAUGUCUUUUUUUAUUGAAAAAGUGCAAAUUGAAAUAAAGACAUUGUCAGUAGU
rnacentral:sRNA from 1 species